AUUCCAGCUCCAAUAGCGUAUAUUUAAGUUGUUGCAGUUAAAAGGCUCGUAGUUGAAUUUUGGACCUGGUUGAAUGGUCCCGCCGCAAGGUGGGUACUGUUUGAUUGGGUCUUUCUUUGCGGGGAAUUAGUGUGCUCUUAAUUGUGUGCUGCUUGGAUUCGGGACCUUUACUUUGAAAAAAUUAGAGUGUUCAAAGCAGGCGUCGGCUUGAAUACAUUAGCAUGGAAUAAUGGAAUAGGACUUUGGUUCUAUUUUGUUGGUUUCUAGGACCGAAGUAAUGAUUAAUAGGGACAGUUGGGGGCAUUAGUAUUUAAUUGUCAGAGGUGAAAUUCUUGGAUUUAUGAAAGACUAACUACUGCGAAAGCAUUUGCCAAGGAUGUUUUCAUCG
rnacentral:rRNA from 1 species